rnacentral:rRNA from 1 species
UCGAGAAUCUUCCGCAAUGGGCGAAAGCCUGACGGAGCGAUGCCGCGUGAGGGACGAAGGCCUUCGGGUCGUAAACCUCUGUCACCCGGGACGAAACCAAUGACGGUACCGGGAGAGGAAGCCACGGCUAACUACGUGCCAGCAGCCGCGGUAACACGUAGGUGGCGAGCGUUAUUCGGAUUCACUGGGCGUAAAGGGUCCGCAGGGGGCCCUCCAAGCCCGCCGUGAAAUCCCGGGGCUCAACCCCGGGCGUGCGGCGGGGACUGGCGGGCUGGAGUGCGCGAUGGGCAGACGGAACACCAGGCGUAGCGGUGGAAUGCGUGGAUAUCUGGUGGAACACCGAUGGCGAAGGCGGUCUGCUGGCGCGUCACUGACCCUCAGGGACGAAAGCGUGGGUAGCAAACAGGAUUAGAUACCCUGGUAGU